CAGAGGGUGCGAGCGUUAAUCGGAAUUACUGGGCGUAAAGCGCGCGUAGGCGGCUUUGCAAGUCGGGUGUGAAAUCCCCAGGCUUAACCUGGGAACUGCAUUCGAGACUGCAUUGCUAGAGUAUGGGAGAGGGAAGUGGAAUUUCCGGUGUAGCGGUGAAAUGCGUAGAUAUCGGAAGGAACAUCAGUGGCGAAAGCGACUUCCUGGACCAAUACUGACGCUCAUGUGCGAAAGCGUGGGGAGCAAACAGGAUUAGAUACCCUGGUAGUCCACGCCAUAAACGAUGAGAACUGGAUGUCGGGAGGGUCUGCCUCUCGGUGUCGUAGCUAACGCGUUAAGUUCUCCGCCUGAGGAGUACGGCCGCAAGGUUG
rnacentral:rRNA from 1 species